AUUGAACGCUGGCGGCAGGCCUAACACAUGCAAGUCGAGCGGAUGAAGGGAGCUUGCUCUUGGAUUCAGCGGCGGACGGGUGAGUAAUGCCUAGGAAUCUGCCUGGUAGUGGGGGAUAACGUCCGGAAACGGGCGCUAAUAUCGCAUACGUCCUGAGGGUGAAAGUGGGGGAUCUUCAGAGCUCACGGUUCUUGAUGAGCCUAGGUCGGAUUAGCUAGUUGGUGGGGUAAAGGCCUACCAAGGCGACGAUCCGUAACUGGUCUGCGAGGAUGAUCAGUCACACUGGAACUGAGACACGGUCCAGACUCCUACGGGAGGCAGCAGUAGGGAAUAUUGGACAAAGGGCGAAAGCCUGAUCCAGCCACGCCGCGUGUGUGAAGAAGGUCUUCGGAUUGUAAAGCACUUUAAGUUGGGAAGAAGAGAAGUAAGUGAAUACCUUGCUGUUUUGACGUUACCAACAGAAAAAGCACCGGCUAACUUCGUG
rnacentral:rRNA from 1 species